rnacentral:lncRNA from 1 species
CUCAAAGUGCUGUACAGAAACCCAACCUAAAACCCGGACAGGAAGAUCACGUCAGUGACUCAACCCAGUCAAGUGACGCACCCCUCCUAGGGACAGCAUGGAAGAGCACCAGUAAGCCAGUGACUCAGCCCCUGUAAUAGGGUUAGAGGCAGAGAAUACCAGUGGAAAGAGGGGAACCGGCCAGGCAGAGACAGCAAAGGCGGUAUGUUGCUCGAGUGCCUUUCCGUUCACCUUCACACUCCUGGGCUAGACUACACUCAAUCAUAGGACCUACAGAAGAGAUGAGUCUUCAAUAAAGACUUAAAGGUUGAGACCGAGUGUGCGUCUCUCACAUGGGUCCUGGCAGAGUUGUGCAGACUCAGGACAACUGAGCUUUGGAGGAAUACGCAGAUUUAAAGAGGAGUCCGUAAUUUACUUUCUAAUGAUCAUGAUCUUUUCCUCAAAGAAAUUCAUGAAUUUAUCACUGUUGAAGUGAAAGCCAUCCUCGCUUGGGGAAUGCUGCUAUUUAGUUAGCUUUGCGACCGUAUCCCCAAAAAAUUGGGGAUUUGUCACGACUUCCGCCGAAGUUUGUCCCUCUCCUUGUUCGGGCGGCGUUUGGCGGUCGAAGUCGCCGACCUUCUAGCCAUCGCUGAUCCUCUUUUCAUUUUCCUUUGGUUUUGUCUUGUCUUGUAUCAUACCUUGUUCCAAUCCCAUUCAUUACAUGUUGUGUAUUUAACCCUCUGUUCCCCCUCAUUGUCCUUGUCAGUGAUUGUUUGUUUGUAAGCUAUGUGCAAGAUAUGUUCUGGUGUGCGAUGGGUUUUAUGCCCACUUGUAUUAUUAUGUAUAUUUUGGUUUUCUGCGUUUUUGAAAACUUAUUAAACUACUGUUUUAUACCAAGUUCUAUCUCCUGCGCCUGACUUCCCUGCCACCAGCAAGCACCCUUACAGGAUUGUUAUUUUUUUCCUCAAUUACAGUUUUUCUCCAUUGGUUUGGCUCAUUUCUUGAAACAGAAAUUACAUUCUCAAAACUCUAAGAUCAUUUGGCAAAACAGUCUUACAGUUCAGCACAACACUAUAGCUCACUUGCAAAAGCUCAUAUCUCUCCUAAAACUGUUCACUCAUGCUUCAAAACUAAAUUCCUUUCCCAUAUAAAGAGUCAGUGCCACGAAAAUGGCAAAGAUCCUUCUCAAUUGCUUUGGCUCAUUUCUUGAAACAGACCGGACGUUCUCAACACUCUUGGUGCUUUAACCAAAACUACAUUUCCUUCUCAUUUAAACAGUCAGUGCCCCCAAAAUGCUUCGUCCCUUUGGCAUUGUGUAAGCACUGCAAGUCAAAAUGUUUAGAUGUUUUGUCACUAUGGCAGAGGACCAUUGAACUAUCCCUCAUGUCCACCUUUCAGUCUUAGCCCAGUCCUUCAUUGACAAUGGUUACUGUACUGUUUUUUGUCCAGC